rnacentral:rRNA from 1 species
GAGUAACACGUAUGCAACCUACCCAUAACAGGGGGAUAGCCCUAAGAAAUUGGGAUUAAUACCGCAUAAAACAGGGGUGCCGCAUGGCAAUAUUUGUUAAAUGAGAUUAUUUGGUUAUGGAUGGGCAUGCGCAGGAUUAGGUAGUUGGUGAGGGUAACGGCCCACCAAGCCCACGAUCCUUAGGGGAACUGAGAGGUUGGUCCCCCACACUGGUACUGAGACAGGGACCAGACUCCUACGGGAGGCAGCAGUGAGGAAUAUUGGUCAAUGGCCGCAAGGCUGAACCAGCCAAGUCGCGUGAAGGAAGAAGGUACUAAGUAUUGUAAACUUCUUUUGUUCGGGGGUAAAAAGCGGGAUGUAUCCUGUUUUGCAAGUACCGGACGAAUAAGCAUCGGCUAACUCCGUGCCAGCAGCCGCGGUAAUACGGAGGAUGCGAGCGUUAUCCGGAUUUAUUGGGUUUAAAGGGUGCGUAGGUGGUUUUUUAAGUCAGCGGUGAAAUCUUAACGCUUAACGUCAAAAUUGCCGUUGAAACUGGGGAACUUGAGAGCAGACGAGGCAGGCGGAAUUCGUAGUGUAGCGGUGAAAUGCAUAGAUAUUACGAAGAACUCCAAUAGCGCAGGCAGCUUGCCAGACUGCCACUGACACUGAAGCACGAAAGUGUGGGAAUCAAACAGGAUUAGAUACCCUGGUAGUCCACACUGUAAACGAUGAUUACUCGCUGUUUGCGAUAUACAGCAAGCGGCCAAGCGAAAGCAUUAAGUAAUCCACCU